rnacentral:tRNA from 1 species
GAGGGUGUAGCUCAAAUGGUAGAGUGUAUGCUUAGCAUGCACGAGGUCCUGGGUUCAAUCCCUAGUACCUCCA